GAUGAACGCUGGCGGCGUGCUUAACACAUGCAAGUCGAACGAAGCACUUUGAAAGCUUGCUUUUGGAGUGACUGAGUGGCGGACGGGUGAGUAACGCGUGGGUAACCUGCCUUAUACAGGGGGAUAACAGUUGGAAACGACUGAUAAUACCGCAUAAGCGCACAGUGCCGCAUGGCACAGUGUGAAAAACUCCGGUGGUAUAAGAUGGACCCGCGUCUGAUUAGCUAGUUGGUGAGGUAACGGAUCACCAAGGCGAUGAUCAGUAGCCGGCUUGAGAGAGUGAUCGGCCACAUUGGGACUGAGACACGGCCCAAACUCCUACGGGAGGCAGCAGUGGGGAAUAUUGCACAAUGGGGGAAACCCUGAUGCAGCAACGCCGCGUGAGUGAAGAAGUAUUUCGGUAUGUAAAGCUCUAUCAGCAGGGAAGAUAAUGACGGUACCUGACUAAGAAGCCCCGGCUAACUACGUGCCAGCCGCCGCCGUAAUAC
rnacentral:rRNA from 1 species